rnacentral:lncRNA from 1 species
CACUUCCUUCGUCCUCUCCCAGUUUCCACCGCCCCACCUGACCGAGAUUAAGACCGCCACUAGCUGCUGCCUCACCUUCUCCGCGCUCCGCCCCACCGCCACCCUCAGCCACACCCUCGGCAUCCAAAAAGGCGACGUCAUCCUCAUCGUUUCCCAGGCUCCAUACUCUACCCUGCCUGUAAGAGAUUUCUGGUGAAGCUAAUAGGGUCUUGAGGAGCUCCACAGCUAUAUCCAAAGAAGUCACGCAUAUUUAAAUCUUUGAAUGUAGAGUUUGUUUUUUAUGUAACGUUGGAAAUAUACCUUAGAGUUCUGAUUGAGUUCCUG